rnacentral:rRNA from 1 species
CGUGAGAUGUUGGGUUAAGUCCCGCAACGAGCGCAACCCCCGUCCUUAGUUGCUACCAUUUAGUUGAGCACUCUAAGGAGACUGCCGGUGAUAAGCCGCGAGGAAGGUGGGGAUGACGUCAAGUCCUCAUGGCCCUUACGGGCUGGGCUACACACGUGCUACAAUGGCGGUGACAGAGGGAUGCAAAGGAGCGAUCCUUCGCAAAUCUCAAAAAACCGUCUCAGUUCGGAUUGGAGUCUGCAACUCGACUCCA